rnacentral:rRNA from 1 species
GUCUUUUUGAUUAUAAUUUAAAGUCUAACCUGCCCACUGAAUAUUUUGAAGGGCCGCGGUAUUUUGACUGUGCAAAGGUAGCAUAAUCAUUAGUCUUUUAAUUGGAGGCUUGUAUGAAUGGUUGGAUGAGGUAUUAACUGUCUCAAUUUAAUAAAUAAUAGAAUUUUAUUUUUAAGUUAAAAAGCUUAAAUUUUAUUAAAAGACGAGAAGACCCUAUAGAUCUUUAUAAUUAAUUUUAUAAUAAUUUUUUAGAUUAAAUUUAUUUUUAUAAGAUAAAUUAUUAUAUUGGGGUGAUAAAAAAAUUUAUAAAACUUUUUUUUAUAUUAAAACAAUGAUAUUUGAUUAAUUGAUCCAUUUUUUGUGAUUAUAAGAUUAAGUUACCUUAGGGAUAACAGCGUAAUUUUUUUGGAGAGUUCAUAUCGAUAAAAAAGAUUGCGACCUCGAUGUUGAAUUAAAGGUUAAUUUUAGGUGUAGAAGUUUAAAAUUUUGGUCUGUUCGACCAUUAAAUC